CAGGCCAUUUCUGUUAGUUGAAGUUUCAUUUACGCUGAAUAAUUGUGUCGUGCGAUUCGACAUGGUCUGA
rnacentral:tRNA from 1 species